rnacentral:rRNA from 1 species
CGCCUCUUGCUAAAUAAGAAUAAGAGGUCCCGCCUGCCCUGUGACUAAACGUUUAACGGCCGCGGUAUUUUGACCGUGCAAAGGUAGCGCAAUCACUUGUCUUUUAAAUAAAGACCUGUAUGAAUGGCAUAACGAAGGCUAAACUGUCUCCUUACCUUUAUCAAUGAAAUUGAUCCCCCCGUGCAGAAGCGGGGAUUAUCACAUAAGACGAGAAGACCCUGUGGAGCUUUAAGCAAAAUUGAUUUAUUAAAAGUAUAUCAAAUCUAUAAAAUAAAAUAAAAAUCAUUAUAUGCUUUUAGUUGGGGCGACCGCGGAGUACUAAAAAACCUCCGUGAGGAUUGAGGUAAACCCUUAAAACUAAGAAAAACACUUCAAAGUAUUAAAAUAUUUAACCUAAAGAUCCGGUAAUACCGAUUAACGAACCUAGUUACCCCAGGGAUAACAGCGCAAUCCUUUUUAAGAGCCCAUAUCGACAAAAGGGUUUACGACCUCGAUGUUGGAUCAGGAUGUCCUAAUGGUGUAGCAGCUAUUAAAGGUUUGUUUGUUCAACAAUUAAAAUCCU